rnacentral:lncRNA from 1 species
AUGCCCAGGAUCCAAACCCAUGAACCCCAGUCGGCAGAAUCGGAGCAUGCUAACUUAACCACUAUGCCACCUGGCAAGCCCUCUCUUGUUGAGUUUUUAAUGAAAAUAGAGUAUAAUUUCUUGUCUUCAUUCAUGAAUUCGAAAGUUGGCACACAUCCUCUGACCAUCCACUCUGUAUCGGUGCUUCAGGGGUGCAGAGGUGAAAGAACGUUGCUGUGCUUUCUGCAAGUUCCCAGUCCAGUGGUGGAAAGACAAUUCCAGGAUUCUGUGAAACUCCCACAUCUGUAAUGUCAUUAUAACAGCAGGGUUGAGGUGAAGAUCACAUAAGGAAACACCCGCCAGCAUCCAUGAAAGUGCCCUGGGCAGAUGCCUACGAGGAAGGAAAUGGUCAUGGUGUCGUGGGAAGAACACACACUGGGGUUUGGGGGGAGGGAUGGGAGACCCUGCUGAGGGACUUUCUUCUCCAAACCUGUCUGCUCACGUCACUAUGGAGCCAGCAAGGGCAGACAGCCACGUGGCCGAGGAAUGGGGGCAGCAGCACUUCCAUCAUAAGACAGAAGACGGAAUGAAAUGGUGAUGUCAGGGCCGAGCUCUGCGCCCACCUGUGUUUCCUACGCUCCGGGCGUUCGCGAGCACCUGCAUCACAUUUGCCACAUCAGCAUUUGAAAUACUUUCAUUCACAUUUGUACUUUAGCCACAUCUAUACAAUAAGGGCCACAAAAUCACAGAGUUUAUUUCAUGCAUAUCUCAAUAUAUGUAAUCAUUCAAUAUUAAUGAUUAAAUUUUAACAUUUUUGAAUGAAUUCAAUGAACAACUAUGUAAUUAUUAAAAUACGUAAUUCCUGAAAUCCUCAUAAGCACCCCCAGAGCCACGUGGGCGACUGUCAGGUGAGCUCAUCGGAGGUCCCCAUCCCUGUCCUUCCGUGAUCCUCCCUCUGCAGCGCAUUUCCCUGGAGCUUCCUUUGUCCUUUCAAAGAUGUCAUCUCAUUUGAGCUUUAUGAUACUCACAGCUGAGAGCAAGGCUGAAAUUAUUUUCUCUAAGGCAAAAAGGGCUCAGCGAGAG